rnacentral:rRNA from 1 species
CAGCAACCGUGGUAAACGGGAGGGGUCAAUCGUUAAAUGGGACUACUGGUCGUAAAGCACACGACGGAGGUUUGUUAAGUCAGUGCUGGAAUCCCCGGGCUGAACCUGGGAACUGCAUCUGAUACUGGCAAGCUUGAGGCUCGUAGAGGGGUGUAGAAUUCCAGGGGUAGCGGUGAAAUACGUAGAGGUCUGGAGGAAUAACGGUGGCGAAGGAGGGCCCCUGGACGAGGACUGACGCGGAGCUGGGAAAGCGUGCGGAGCAAGCAGGAUUAGAUGCCCGGGGGGUCCACGCCAGUAACGAGGUAGCCUUGCAUGUUGUGCGCGUAGAGCUUGCCUUCCGGAGACACAGGCUUAAGUCCGCCGCCGGAGGCGUAGGACCGCAGAGCUAACACUCAAAUG